CGCUGUUGCUGCCAGAUACCAGAAGGCCAUGAGCGCCUCGGCGACGAGUCCGCCAGCCUACAGGCGCGUGGAGGGCCUUCUGCUAGGGUACUUCUUCAGCGGAGACAGCGUCCGCUCUGCCCUCACAUAUGAGCCACAACCGGGUGACAUCUUCGUGGCAGGCUACCCUAAGUCCGGAACCACCUGGACACAGUACAUCCUCUGGAGCAUCUUCAGUGGCGGUGUCCCUCCUAAGAGCAUCGCUGAAUUCGAGCACAAGAUGCCCGUACUGGAGAGCGCCGGGGCCCAGGGCAUCGCGAACGUGUAUCCUGACAGACCGUGGGCAAUCAAGACGCACCUUCCGUUGUCCAUGCUUCGAUACUCCGAACGGGCGAAGUAUGUCUUCAUCGCGAGGAACCCCUACGACUGUUGCGUCUCGUAUUACCAUCACACCAAAGCUUUUCCAGCGUACCUCUACGAAGACGGCUGUUUCGACCAGUUCUUCGACAUGUUUGUGGAGGGACAAGGGGAGUAUGGCGAUUACUUCGACCAUCUGCUUCCCUGGUACGAGCAUCGAGAAGACCCAAACGUUUUGUUCUUGACGUAUGAAGGUUUUAAGACAGACACCGAACACUGGGUGCUCAAGAUGGCCGACUUCGUGGGAGAAGAGUAUGGGGAGCGACUGAGACGUGACCCGCAAGCACUAAGGCUGGUUAUAAGCCUGUCAAGCGUCGAAAGCAUGAAGAAGAUUUUUAACAGGUCACUUAGUACCAAACAUGGCAAUGCGUCGAAGGCUUCGAGCAGUGCCCAGGGGACGUCAGAAAGCUAUGAGGAGCUGAUUAGGGUCGCGCUUACGAAGCCGAUGACGGGCGAUUUUGUACGGAAGGGGGUAGUCGGAGACUGGAGGAAUCACUUUUCGACGGAGCAACUGGAGAGGAUGAAGAAAUGGAUAAUACGGAAGACACCGGAAAGCGACGUUAUGCUGCUUUGGAAUGACUGUGAUAUUCCUCAACUCUAAUUUCUACGAGCUGACAAAAAAAAAAGAACGAGUUUCUGAAGAAAUCGUUAUAAUGUUGACGAGCUGAUUUCAAGUCUUCACGUGUGUCAUGGACGCUGGCUCAACCUACCAAAUAUGCACCGUCAUCGUCAAGUGUGCGUACGGAAACAUUGGUAGUUCAUUGGAAACGCAUGAUGAGUGUGCCCAGUUCUUAGCAAAGACAUAAAAGCAUGCCAGGGGCGCGGAGUGUCGUUUCAGAUGCAGCAAACCUAAACAAAAAUUAGUUUAGCUCUUGCCACGCAGAACUUGAGCAAUAAAACUUAUUUUUUUAACUAUAGCUAGCGGCAAAACGACCCUUUCCGGAAGUAGUAGUCGUUUUUAUCUAUGCUGCGACGGCGCUUCGCCACCGUAGACGCCCGAGAUGUGAAGAGCGAGUUCGUCUGCUUUUUUUCGCAAGGUCACAUCGAUUGACGCACUUUGACCGCCCCUUAUCAUUGCCAGCUGUCAUGCGGCGGAAGGCCCAGUCGUCUGCCAUUCUUCGUGGACGCCGGAGCGUGAAGGAACGGGCCAAAGAAACGCAGGCUGUAGUCGGGAUCCAAGAAAGCGAGGAUGCAAUCGACCGGAAAGUCCACUCCGGUCUAUAGAGAGAUCGAAGGACUCUACCUCAGCUACUACUUCAGCGACGAGAGCGUCCGCUCAGCCCUCGCCUACAAGCCAAGGCCAGAUGACGUGUUUAUUGUGAGCUACCCGAAAUGCGGUACCACCUGGAUGCAGUACCUCCUCUGCAACAUCUUUAGCGGUGGCGUUCCUCCGAGGGACACGGUGGAAUUCGAGGCCAAGUCACCAUUCUUGGAAUUCACCGGAGCUCAAGGCGCCGAAGAGAUGCCGAGGCCGGGCGCCAUCAAGACGCACCUCCCUUUCGACAAGCAACCUUACUCGAAAGAGGCCAAGUACUUCUACGUCACCAGGAACCCGUACGACUGCUGGGUCUCCUACUACUACCAUAUGAAGAACUUUCCCGCCUACUUCUUCGAGGACGGUACCUUCGACCAGUUUUUCGAUUUGUUCGUGGAAGGAAAAGGGGAGUUCGGCGACUACUUUGACCAUCUGUUGUCCUGGUACGAACAUCGCAACGACCCCAACGUCUUCUUCUUGACCUACGAAGACCUCAAAAAGGACACGGCCUCCUGGGUGCUGAAGAUGGCUGACUUCCUGGGUAAGGAGUACGGCGAGAGGUUGCUAAGUGACCCAGCGCUGCUUAAGCGCAUCGUGGAGAUGUCCAGCGUGUCGAAUAUGAAGAAGGCAUUUAACGACGCGUGGAAGUCAACGACGAUUCAUGUCCCGCCGGCCGUGGAAGCUGACGAAUCGCGGCAAGUCACCAAGGAGUCGUUGGAAGCGGCAGUGAAGAAGCCGAUGACCGGAGAUUUCGUUCGUAAGGGCGUAGUUGGAGACUGGAGGAACCAUUUUUUGCCAGAACAAAUCGAAAGAAUGAAGGAACGCAUUGCGACCAAAACGGCCGGCAGUGAUGUGAUGGAGUUGUGGAAAGAGUGCGACCUUCCAUGACUGAACUACGAGGAGUGAGCUUGCGCGUAAAACUCCUGCGUUGGCUGCGUUGUGUGAAGCAUCUCUAUGUAUAUAUAUUAUAGUGCUGCUAGGAUUAACUCGGUAUACCUAUCGUUUUUGGCGCAAGAUAUUGAACAAAAAGGAAAAGAAUGGUUUCCACACUUUUUUGCUUUUAUGUCCAUUUGAUAAAUUCCGGUCGCCCUUAUUAUAAUUGACUAACUUGAUUAAAGCCUGAUUGGUGUGUAUAUGCACAUCGUGGUGCGGAGAAAUAUAAGCGUGUAUAGGGGUUUCUUGUUUUGCGACUGCUGUUAAUAAAACUCAGACACA
rnacentral:misc_RNA from 1 species